rnacentral:rRNA from 1 species
UACGUAGGUGACCAGCGUUGUCCGGAUUUACUGGGCGUAAAGAGCGCGCAGGCGGUCGUUCAAGUCGAGUGUGAAAGCCCCCGGCUCAACUGGGGAGGGUCACUCGAUACUGAUCGACUUGAAGGCAGGAGAGGGAAGCGGAAUUCCCGGUGUAGUGGUGAAAUGCGUAGAUAUCGUCAAGAACACCUAUAGCGAAGGCAGCUUACUAGGCUGUAACUGACGCUGAGGCACGAGAGUGUGGGGAUCAAACAGG